AUGAAGAUACUAGUUUGGAACUGUCGCGGGCUCGGGAAUGCACCGGCAAUCCAAGCCUUGUUGGAUGUCUAGCGAGCAUGUAACCCCGACGUGGUGUUCUUGUCGGGGACACACUUGGGGAGCUAUCCGGCAGAGUGUUUGAGAAGAAGAAUGAGGAUGGAUCAGAAGCUGGUGUGUGUUAGUGAUGGGAGAAAGGGUGGCAUGGUUCUUUUCUGGAAGAAGGAAAUAAAUAUUCAUAGAUUGGACUUGGAUCCCAUGUUCAUUGAUGUAAGAGUUGAAGAUGAAAAUAAUAGGCUAACCGGUAUGUAUGGUGAAUUCAAAUUGGAACAUAAGUACAAGACUUGGGAUUGUAUGCGACAACUUCAUCGGAAUAUUACACUGCCAUGGUUGCUGAUAGGUGAUAUGAAUGAGAUUCAAUUCUUGCAUGAAAAAAGAAGGGGGAAACCCAAGACCACAAUAAUAUAUGACAACUUUACAACAGGUAAUUGA
rnacentral:rRNA from 1 species